rnacentral:rRNA from 1 species
AGUGAACGCUGGCGGUAGGCCUAACACAUGCAAGUCGAACGGCAGCACAGUAAGAGCUUGCUCUUACGGGUGGCGAGUGGCGGACGGGUGAGGAAUACAUCGGAAUCUACUUUUUCGUGGGGGAUAACGUAGGGAAACUUACGCUAAUACCGCAUACGACCUACGGGUGAAAGCAGGGGAUCUUCGGACCUUGCGCGAUUGAAUGAGCCGAUGUCGGAUUAGCUAGUUGGCGGGGUAAAGGCCCACCAAGGCGACGAUCCGUAGCUGGUCUGAGAGGAUGAUCAGCCAAACUGAAACUGGGACACGGUCCAGACUCCUACGGGAGGCAGCAGUGGGAAUAUUGGACAAUGGGCGCAAGCCUGAUCCAGCCAUACCGCGUGGGUGAAGAAGGCCUUCGGGUUGUAAAGCCCUUUUGUUGGGAAAGAAAGGCAGCAGGUUAAUACCCCGCUGUUCUGACGGUACCCAAAGAAUAAGCACCGGCUAACUUCGUG